AAUCAACGCUGGCGGCGUGCCUAACACAUGCAAGUCGAACGAGAAAGUGGAGCAAUCCAUGAGUAAAGUGGCGACCGGGUGAGUAACACGUGACCAAUCUACCCUUGAGUGGGGGAUAACCUCGGGAAACCGGGGCUAAUACCGCAUAACAUCUUCGGAUCGGAAGAACUGGAGAUCAAAGGAGCAAUUCGCUUAAGGAGGAGGUCGCGGCUGAUUAGCUAGUUGGCGGGGAAUGGCCCACCAAGGCUUAGAUCGGUAGCCGGCCUGAGAGGGCGCACGGCCACACUGGAACUGAAACACGGUCCAGACUCCUACGGGAGGCAGCAGUGGGGAAUUUUGCGCAAUGGGGGAAACCCUGACGCAGCAACGCCGCGUGGAGGAUGAAGUCCCUUGGGACGUAACUCCUUUCGACCCGGACGAUAA
rnacentral:rRNA from 1 species